UGGUUUUUGGAUACUUCCCAAAAAUAGCAAACAACCGUUAGCCAGUUAUACAUUUCGAAUUAUUUCUUUACUAAAAAUCAUUGUUUAACUCAAUCGUAUUAUUAUUCAACCAAUUUAUAAUGAAUUUAAAAUAUCCAUAUUUCCUAACCCAUCAAAAGGAGACAUUAUGAUAGUUAUGCACAUGAAUUUAAAUAAUUAAAUAAAAAAGAAAAUCUGAUCAAUGCAAUCUCCUCAAUUAAUAUUAGUAGUAUAUUGUAUUUAAACAUCUAAAUAAAAGAUUUGGUUGAAAACAUUUAGAAUGAACCUAAUGGACUUAAAAUUGGACAACAACCUGCUAUUUUCUUAAGUGGUAAGACUUAGAAUGGUAACCAAAAUGACCAAAAUAACCAAAAAGUUAAUUUAAAAUUAGUUCAAUGGAAUAAAUUAAUUACUUAGAACAAUAGUAAAAUACAAUUGAGAAGAAAUUUUAUCUUGUAGGCAUAUUACUGUCUUAAUAAGUAAUGAUGAUAAUAAUAUAUGAUGGAUUACAAAUUGGUCAGUAACAAAUUGUGUCUUUGUGUAUAAGUAAUAUGGUGCAAUUCUGUUGUGGCUGGGCUAUGUUGGUUUCCUUGUGUUUUCUUAUACAACUAUAGCUUAUAAGAGUGGAUGUAAAACACUAAUAACAAUGAUUAAAAAUAAUAUAAAUUGUUAGUAUUUAUUACAUUAAAAAUAAUAUAAUUCUUUUUUCAUUA